rnacentral:rRNA from 1 species
AUGGCGGAUGGCGGCGGGGAAGACGUGGUGGAGGGGGGGCCUUGUCUGUUCAAAAUCCGCAAGCUGGGCGGUCCGGGUACGAGUUCAGUUGUCGCUGAGGAUCAGAUUGAGGCCAUGGCUACCAGGGAGAUGGACCUAGUCAGAACAAGCCCCGUCAUCUCCGAGAAGGAGAUCGAGCGGCUCUGUGUGCAGAUGGACGAGAUGGCGUCUUUAAUGAGAUACAGGAUCAUACCAUCAGCCCCGCUCAGCAGCAGCAAAGAGACUGAAGAAGAUAAGGACAAGGCGAAGCCCGUGAUCGACGGCAUCCGAAAAGAGUUGGCUGAUCUGCAGGGCAGCAUGUCCAAGCUCAAAUCGCAACUGAAACCUUUCUGGCACAAGUACCCGUAUGAGGAGGACUAUGUGGCGCCGGAGGAGGAGAAGGAUCCCAAGGAGAGGGCAAGGAAGGAGAUGGAGGAGGAGCAGGAGGUCUUUGAUUCCUACCGUCAAGGCGUCGAAUCUAAAGUUAGACACUUUGGAUACACAACCCUAGUGAGCCCCAUGCACUUUACACACUACACACCCAGACAGGUCCCAUCCGAUUAUACUACUCGUGGGAUCACCUUGCAGAUCUUCUCCUUCAAGAUUGCCAACAUCAGUUUGGACCUGGAAUGGCCACUCCUGCAAUGGCCACUCAAAGUGUACGGCGUAGUCGCCGCACGAGACAAUGUAGAUCGCAAGCGCAACGUUCUCUUCCACCGGCAAAGGGACAACUUCCAAGAGAUCACCCAAGAAGACCCCUUUUUGUGCUUGACUGGCCCAUCUCGUGCAAUCUCAGCCGACCGCCCUCUUGAGUUUGAAGUCCAACUAAAACUUAAGGGCGGCGCAGCAAAGUCUGAAGACAGCGUGUUGAUCAAUAGCAGAAGCCAUUACGGUGGUUAUCAGACCCAUAAUGGUUUCUAUACUGUCACCUUUGACAACUGUCUUUGCACAACCGAGUUAAGCCUGCAGAAACUGUAUCGUGGAGCAGUCCAAGCCACUUUCUUGCGUGUCGGCAUUGUUAAAGGCAGUCAAAGCCCUUUCAGUUAUGGAGGCAGAGUUGCUUGCUCCUCACCACCUCAGAAAGAUGGUAGAGGCCCUGCCACUCCCACCCAAGUUGUAUUGCUUGAUUCUCGUUAUUGUGCUGGCGGGAAGAUGCCAAUAGGCGAAGAAGAUGGUUACCUUGAUCUGUCAAGGCAUGUUGUUUCUGUUGAAUUACGGACAGUGAGUGUAGAUUCUGAAGAAUUGGAAGAAACCCUGAAAGUUGUCAUAGAAGCCUACUCUCCCGGUGGUUCUGUGCAAGCUCAUGUCAUGGUCAGGCCUCAAUACUGCGGCCUAAGUAAGCAUAAAUGUGACCUCAACGGCUCUAAGGUGAAGAUUACCAUUGCUUGGUCACCUAUUGUUAGCAGUGCUUUCACCAGAAAGGUUAUUCUGUGA